GAUGAACGCUGGCGGCGUGCCUAAUACAUGCAAGUCGAGCGAACAGACGAGGAGCUUGCUCCUCUGACGUUAGCGGCGGACGGGUGAGUAACACGUGGAUAACCUACCUAUAAGACUGGGAUAACUUCGGGAAACCGGAGCUAAUACCGGAUAAUAUAUUGAACCGCAUGGUUCAAUAGUGAAAGACGGUUUUGCUGUCACUUAUAGAUGGAUCCGCGCCGCAUUAGCUAGUUGGUAAGGUAACGGCUUACCAAGGCGACGAUGCGUAGCCGACCUGAGAGUGUGAUCGGCCACACUGGAACUGAGACACGGUCCAGACUCCUACGGGAGGCAGCAGUAGGGAAUCUUCCGCAAUGGGCGAAAGCCUGACGGAGCAACGCCGCGUGAGUGAUGAAGGUCUUCGGAUCGUAAAACUCUGUUAUUAGGGAAGAACAAAUGUGUAAGUAACUAUGCACGUCUUGACGGUACCUAAUCAGAAAGCCACGGCUAACUACGU
rnacentral:rRNA from 1 species